CUAAAUAUUUAAUCAUAAUACAAGCAAAAUGCUUUUACACAUAGUCAGUUUUCCUUCUCUGUUAGUGUCUCCACAGCUGUGUCUUUAUCUCUGCAUCUUCCUGAACGCUCCUUAGUAGGCAAAUGAAGAGGCAAACACAGAUGAUGAUGAUCAUGGUCAUGACAUACAUCGUUGAACCACUUGGGAAGGAAUGGCAGCUGAAGAGAUCUCCCGCUACACCUAAUGUCCAUCAAACAUUUCUCUUCAGUUCAUUUGGCGAAACGGAAAACAACCGAAAACUGAAAUCAACAUGGGAGAAACGACUCAACUGCUUCAGAGGGAUGAAUGACUGAUACAGUUUCUUUUCCACUGUGCUUUGAAAAGUGAAAUAAUUAAGAUAGAUGGGCAGAUGAAUUAGUUGUCUUCCAAGGUCAAACGCUGAUUGCCUUAUUACUCUAUUACUCCACUGUGGUGAAACUGUUACCGCUGACACUUUUUCAUGAUAUUCUUUACAUCCACAAAAGAGAAGGAAUGAGUGAAAGAGUGAGAGAGAUACAAAUUGAUUGUUUGGCGGCCAAAUCAGUCAUAGUCAUCUUGGGUGGAAGGAUUAAUGGGUCUGAUGGCUGUUGCAGGUUCAGGCAGGGAGACGGGCAGAAAACAAGAGAAAUUGGUUUGGGCCCCCGGGAGCUGAAUCGAUCUCCAGGUGUCCUCAAGUUCUCCUGAAGUGGGCCCAAGGAGGUUAGCAGCUGUGACAAAAAUCAAAAUCCAUUUUCUGUGGCCAAAUGUAAUGAGGACCAAAUGGUGGAUGUUCCAUUCAUCUCUCCGGCCCGUCUGAGCAUCUCAGGCCACAGGCAGAGGCUUGUGAAGGCAGGUGUGAAAGCUGCGGGGAGUCUUAUGAUGCUCCACGUACAGGCACUUUCACUAGUGCUUUCGUUGGAUACAUGGCUAUUUUAUAUAUAUUUAUUUUCAUUAAAUCGCCACAGCGCUACAUAAGAUAAAUGGUUCUGGCUAGAGCUCCAUCUAAUCAGGCAUCUCAGAAUAAACUCUAUUCUGGCUCCAGGAGUCGGGUCACUGUUCUCUUUGAAAUUGCUCCUAUUUGUGGACAAAAUGGGGUUUGAGAAACAACACAUGAAAAUUGCUCCAGGAUUAUGACUGAGAGCCCCUCUUCAAUCUUCAGAAAGCCCACCCACACAAAAUCUGGCCCGAGCCACUCACUAUGAAGUGGUGUGCAGCCAGAAUCUAUUUCCCUCCUUUGCAACCGAAUUCAUGUAAAAUUAAUCAACUCCCCGCUGUAAUUCCAAAUAUUCGCCACAUGGACUGAUUGGGGUCAACGGCUCAAUUCAGCAUCAGGAGAAGGCAAACUCCUCAUCGUGAUUGAUGGCCAGCAUAGUCACACAUAUUAUUAUGAAAUGAGUUUAUUAGCUUUGAAUGUGCUGGUUAUGCACUGCUGUUUUUUGGCCUUUUGCGUCUGAACGAGAGUUCAUUUAGGAGCUCUUAUACCUGCUUAAUCUGUCAAGAGCUGAGGUGAGAAAGUUGUCUGCACUUCAGAAAUAAAUGUAGAAAGACUCACUUUGCCUUUACCUUUUCACGCCUGUAGCUUAAGGAUCCAUAUUAGUGCCUUAAAAAUGUAUAUUUGUACCUAAAGUAUAUAUAUUAGUAGUUAAACAGAGCAAAAGUGUACCGUUUUUAAAAAAGUGAUUGCUUCAGUGAUGGCUUUCACGUCUUUAUUUCUGAGA